UCAGUGUCUAGUCAAAGAAUUAACACAUGC
rnacentral:piRNA from 1 species